GAAGGAAGCCGAGUUCUCUGAGGCAGAAGGAGCUCCACCAGAGGAAAGCCGGAGGGCUCAGGCCCAGGAGCAUGCCCAAGAUGCCCUCUCAAGUGGCGGUGUAGAAACGGUGUUGAGCCAUCAGUUUUAUAGAGCUGUGGAAAGAUCUGCAGAACCUCCAAUUCAGUGUCCCUUUUCCUUUGAGGAGGUGGCCGUGAAUUUCACGGAGGCGGAGUGGGCCUUGCUGGAUCCAGGCCAAAGAGAUCUCCACAAAGAAGUCAUGCUGGAGACCUA